rnacentral:rRNA from 1 species
UGCCAGCAGCCGCGGUAAGACGGAGGGUGCAAACGUUGUUCGGAAUCACUGGGCAUAAAGCGCACGUAGGCGGUUCGUCAAGUCAGGUGUGAAAUCCCUCGGCUCAACCGGGGAACUGCAUCUGAUACUGGCGAGCUCGAGGAUGGUAGGGGUGAGCGGAACUCCAGGUGGAGCGGUGAAAUGCGUAGAUAUCUGGAGGAACACCGGUGGCGAAGGCGGCUUUCUGGACCAAUACUGACGCUGAGAUGCGAAAGCGUGGGGAGCGAACAGGAUUAGAUA